rnacentral:lncRNA from 1 species
UUUUGACACUAGAUGGCAGAAAAUUCAUUGCUAAAAGUUUCUAUGGGAACGAGCUCUAUCGAUAGGACAAGAAAGCUGUGCCCGACAAAAACUAUUGAAAAUUAGCCUGGGGCUCACUGUGGUGACGUAAUGAUUUGAUGGGGAUGGGAAGCAUGGUCUGCGCUGGUGCACGAUGUGCGCACGGGAGAGGAGUUUCAUAUUCUGGCAUGGAUAUUCAGAGAAAAUAGGAUUUUUUUGCGAUCAUGCGUGAUGGAACUGUAUUAAGCCCAUUGGACUGAACUAUGCUCAUCAGAUCUCAUCAUCAGUGGGUUAAACCCUAUCAAUUCCAAUGAAGGCAGGGCAUCACUGCUGCAGGCUGCAUCCCUAACUAAUCACCAUGGAUCAGAGACCAGCAUCCUCUGGGACCCAGUUUCUCCUGUCAUUCCUGUGGCCCAGUCCUCAAUGCAGCAUCUCUGGGUUGAGACUGAAGAAGCAGAGCGAUGGUUGACCUCACCACUGCCAGAGUCCUAUGGGAGGUAUCGAAUCUGAUCAUUUCUUUUGAGAAGUGGUGUAUCCUUAUUGACAACCUGGGAAGAAGGAUCUGGGAUUUCCCUUCCCCUUGGGGAUUAUUGGGUUGUGGAUAUUGACGAGUUGGGACUGAGCAGAGAGGAGAGGGGGGUAUCUGGCGUUCAGCCUGAGAUGGAAUCGGGAGCUGAGGGGAGCCAGCAUCAGCACCAGAGGAUGAAGCCUGUGACACAUGCAUUGGAGGACCAGAAAAAGGAGACAAAAGAUGGAGCACGCCCCCAUCCACAUCGACGGGGCCGCAGUGGAGAAGGUCAAAAGCUUCAAGUUUCUCGGCAUGCACGUCACCGAGGACCUGAAAAAGGCACAACAGCACCUCUUCAACCUCAGGCGGCUGAAGAAAUUCGGCAUGGCCCCUGAGACCCUUGCGAACUUCUACAGAUGCACCACUGAGAGCAUUCUGUCGGGCUGAAUCACCGCCUGGCUCUUUCUGAGGGCAGUGCCAUCAGCCCAAUGCACCAUCUGGGGCACGUUGCCUGCCCUCAUUAAGGUCUGU